rnacentral:lncRNA from 1 species
UGGGUGAAGAUUUCACAUGGAAAUUUUGAUACAGAGAUAUGUAAUUAUGCAAACAGAUCCGUUCAUAUAUUCCUUUCCAUCGACAAACAAGUUACAUCAACACAGGCACACUUGAAAGAAAUCCCAUUUACAACAGUUGCGCACACAUGAUUAAAUCGAUCACUUCACUCCAAAACUUUCAAACCUCACUUUCCGGGAACAAAGUUUGUGGCAUAUGACCAAGCGUUGUUGUUAACAGGGUCAGCCAAGUGAUCAGCUAGGUUCUCAAUCGGUCCCUUUCCGGUAACAAUAGCUUGCACGAAGAAUCCGAACAUGGAAAACAUAGCCAGUCUUCCGUUCUUGAGCUCCUUCACCUUAAGCUCAGCAAAAGCCUCAGGAUCGUCUGCAAGCCCUAAAGGGUCAAAGCUCCCACCGGGGUACAACGGGUCUACUACCUCACCGAGAGGACCUCCUGCAAUUCUGUAGCCUUCAACAGCACCCAUCAAGAUCACUUGUGUUGCCCAGAUUGCCAAAAUGCUUUGAGCGUGGACCAAGCUAGGGUUUCCCAAGUAGUCUAGUCCACCCUCACUGAAGAUUUGAGCUCCAGCCUUGAACCAAACAGCUUCGCCGAACUUGACUCCAUUACGAGCCAAGAGUUCAGGGAAAACACAGCCAAGGGCACCUAGCAUGGCCCAUCUGGAAUGGAUGACUUCGAGCUCACGGUUCUUGGCAAAGGUCUCAGGAUCAGCUGAGAGCCCAGCUGUGUCCCAGCCGUAGUCACCGGGAAACUCUCCGGUGAGGUAAGACGGGGCUUCGCCGGAGAAUGGUCCCAAGUACUUGACACGGUCAGGACCGUACCACGGGCUGACGGAUGACACAUUCUUUGACUUGGCUGCGGUUUUGCGCAUGGUAACUCGGCCCUCACCGAGGAGGUUAGAUGUGGAGGAACCAAGCUUCACAGCUUGGCCAGCUAGAGAAGGGGAGGAGAGAGCCAUUGUUGAAGAAGCCAUUUGAGGAAAGUGUUGAGAGUUCUCAGCUUAGACAAUGUGGGGUGGUGAGGGCCGAGGGUUUGUGUUUUGAGUAGAGCCGUUGGUGGCUAUUUGUAUAGGGUUUUGUGUGGGGGUUCUUUAUCUUUUUGAUAUCUUCAUCUCUAUUCUUAUUGGGUGAUAGUGAAGUUUGAAGAUUUUUCCCUUCAACGGAUCUCUGCAUUUCCAGUUGGCCUCGUAUGCUCCACUACUAAGUUCAGUUAGUUCCAAAAAUAGAAAGACAUGCAGAGACAAAAAUGGAAAUCUGUUGUGGAUGUACUCUAUCGAAAAUAAAAUCUGUUGUGGAUACUCUGUGCUUUGAUUUCCAGCUAAUAGACGGUGACCACGUCAGCUUUGGAUCAGGGUAAUGGCUGAUUAAGAUUCUUGGAUAAGAGCUAGAUGUAUUAGUUCCACCUCCAUGUAAUGUACGUAUAUGUACACAAAGAAGUUAAUUAACUAGCAAAGAAUAGUAGAAUACGUAUAUGUACAUAAAGGACUAAUACCAAACUAACAUGCAACUCAGGUGAUCCCAUAUUAAUUAUAACGAGUUCGUUUUAUAAUUCGAGUCGUUACAUCUGUUUGAAAGACUAAGUUUAUCAUGUAAUAAUUUGAAUCAAACAAAUGAAGUAAACGGAUCAAUGAACACUGGUUAUUAAUGCAUGAUUGUGAUGUAUAUAUGUUACUGAAAUGGACAAGCAGUGUUUCUGUAUAAGCUUAAGUUUUCGCCAGAUCAAUUGAAGGAGGCCGAGCAUGUCGCCUAAAUUAACUGCAGUACAUAGACGAUCUGUUCCCAUUCAGUGUGAUGAUGUUCAUCUUCAGAAUGGAAAUCUGAAGUUGUGAAGCAAAAUGUAGUUUAUGAGAGCCCCAAGAAUGAUCCAAUGCACGAUGGCCUCCUGAAAGUCGAAAACUGAAGUAGAAGUAGAAAUUUUCUGUUAACUUUAUACCUACAAGUUUAAUAAUUUCAUGGACGCAUGAAUCAAGAGAUCAGUGAAAGAACAUUGUCAUCAUACUUUCUGCAAGCUAUCCUCAAAUUGGAUUACCUAUACAUGAAUUCAAGGCAUCAGCCAAAAGCCCAAAAGUAGUAUUGCAUAUAGGUUGUCCAGCUUCCAUGUUUGUCAUAAGGAUCCUCAAAUCAGCAUUAGUGGCUUUGAUUGAAUUUCAUAUAUCGCUUGUCAAUUUGUUGAUGCAUCUAAUUAAGUCGGAGAAAUUAUACAAGAUGUGUCAGAUAUUUCCAUGAUUUCUGGCAAUGCUGCUUAGAGCUGAUUCAUUAACUUGUGAGUUAAUAAAAGAUGAUUGAGCUUGUAUAGUUGUAUAUAUGGGUGAAGAUUUUACAUAAAAUUUUUAGUACAGAGCAAUUUAAGCAAACAGAUCUGUUGAUAUAUUCCUUUCCAUCGACAAACAAGUUACAUCAACAGAAACACACUUGAAAGAAAUCCCAUUUACAACAGUUGCAAACACAGAUGAUUCGAUCGAUCACUUCUCUCCCAAGCUUUCAAACCUCACUUUCCGGGAACAAAGUUGGUGGCAUAGGACCAAGCGUUGUUGUUAACAGGGUCAGCCAAGUGGUCAGCUAGGUUCUCAAUCGGUCCCUUUCCGGUAACAAUAGCUUGUACGAAGAAUCCGAACAUGGAAAACAUGGCCAGUCUUCCGUUCUUGAGCUCCUUCACCUUAAGCUCAGCAAAAGCCUCAGGAUCGUCUGCAAGCCCCAAGGGGUCAAAGCUCCCACCGGG